rnacentral:lncRNA from 1 species
CUAUCUUGCGACUCAUGCAUGGCACGUCUAUAAGUCAAGCUGGAAUCCUCUAAAAUAAGUCACAUGGGAAAAAAUUCUGAUCUUAUUCUAGACGAAGAAUGAAAAGCCAGGAAGCUACAUAACCCAAGGUUUAAUGAAAAAAAGUUAAAUUCGUUUAUCAGGAAAAACAGCAUUCAUGUAUUAUUUACAAAAAUUGAGGCUGAUCUCCAAGCUCUACUGUGGAAAGAGUUCAUCAAGUUCCUAGAUUGAAGAAAGCUAAUUAAAAAGUCAUUAAAAUGACAAAAAUCGAGGACACCUGUGCGUUUUGAAAUAUCUCAUUUUGUAUCAAAUACUUUGGCAGUUCUGGAUUGAUAACCAAGUUUAUAUUUCAGCAAACAGGGGACCUCAAGAGCAUAACUUAAUCUCAGAGUUGUUCACCUCCGUGCAA